CUUACCAUGCAAGUCGAACGGAGAAGGAGAGCUUGCUCUCCGGAUCAGUGGCGAACGGGUGAGUAACACGUGAGCAACCUGCCCCGGACUCCGGGAUAACAGUUGGAAACAGCUGCUAAUACCGGAUACGAGCUGCGAAGGCAUCUUCAGCAGCUGGAAAGAACUUCGGUCUGGGAUGGGCUCGCGGCCUAUCAGCUAGUUGGUGAGGUAACGGCUCACCAAGGCGUCGACGGGUAGCCGGCCUGAGAGGGUGACCGGCCACACUGGGACUGAGACACGGCCCAGACUCCUACGGGAGGCAGCAGUGGGGAAUAUUGCACAAUGGGCGCAAGCCUGAUGCAGCAACGCCGCGUGAGGGACGACGGCCUUCGGGUUGUAAACCUCUUUUAGCAGGGAAGAAGCGAAAGUGACGGUACCUGCAGAAAAAGCGCCGGCUAACUACGUGCCAGCAGCCGCGGUAAUACGUAGGGCGCAAGCGUUAUCCGGAAUUAUUGGGCGUAAAGAGCUCGUAGGCGGUCUGUCGCGUCUGCUGUGAAAACCCGAGGCUCAACCUCGGGCCUGCAGUGGGUACGGGCAGACUAGAGUGCGGUAGGGGAGAUUGGAAUUCCUGGUGUAGCGGUGGAAUGCGCAGAUAUCAGGAGGAACACCGAUGGCGAAGGCAGAUCUCUGGGCCGUAACUGACGCUGAGGAGCGAAAGGGUGGGGAGCAAACAGCUUAGAUACCCUGGUAGUCCACCCCGUAAACGUUGGGAACUAGUUGUGGGGACCAUUCCACGGGUUUCCGUGACGCAGCUAACGCAUUAAGUCCC
rnacentral:rRNA from 1 species